AUCUCUUGAGGCUUCACCUCAGCUUCACUGACUUCUUGACUCUCCUCUUGAGGAAAAGGACUCAGCCAACUAUGAAGUUUCUUGUCUUUGCUUUCAUCUUGGCUCUCAUAGUCGCCAUGGCUGGAGCUGAUUCACACGAAAAGAAACAUCAUGGGCAUAGAAGAAAAUUCCAU